rnacentral:rRNA from 1 species
AUGAGUUCAUUCCAAGUCUUGUAUGAACAAAACAACAAGGCAAAGGUCACAAGUAUAAUGCCUUUGCAUCCACAAGGUUCUAGAGGUGUGUUUGGUGAGCUAAAAGGGUCUUUUGCUGGUUUCGGUUUUCUCCAUAAUGUAAAACUUUUACUUGUGAACCUACAAAUGUACUCAUGUGUGCAUGUAGACCUGAUGGAUGGUUGUGCUUUUGGUUGUCCUGUAACUGGACUUGUAUGCCCAUGUGUGCAUCCAGGCAUGCAUGAUCUUGUGCUGUUGGCUGACCUACGAUACUGGUCUUAUGAACCUAUGUAUGGAUGA